CUCAUGUUUAAAAAUUUAAUGGGUGAAAGAACUUAAUUUUUUUCAACUUAAAAAAAUAGAAAUCGUAUCAAAAAUAAUAUGAUUGUAUGAUAAUCAGAUCAAAUCUUUUCUUGCAAUUUUUUUUUUUUUUUAAACGAAGCCUUGGGAGAGUUAAGAGCAUUCGGUGUGUUGCUCUUUCCCUAAUCUUGUGGUUGGGAAUUCAGUUUGGCUAAUAUAAUCGUGAACUUUCCCUGAUCCUGUGGUUGGGAAUUCAUUUUGGCUAAUACAUUCAUGGACGCUGAUAUAAGGGAAAGACGGUUGUGAGGGGGGCAUUUUCCCGGAACCUUAUGACGAGGCCAGGGUUCUCACCUAUGCGCGGUAUGGCCUCAGGUUUUCUGUUAAUCGUCAUUUGCUGUCGGCUUGGAUCAAUGAUGAAACUAUGAAUGGCAUGCUGGAUUAGUAAUGUCUGUAUCAUAGAAAACGACGGCACAUGCGUGAAUAUCAUGUUUUACAUGAUACAGUGCUGCAGAUUAAUUGGAUAUCAAGUACAUAAACGAUGCACUGUGAAAACGUGUCAACGUGUCGUGGUAGGACCACGAUAAGCUUGUAAUCCGAUUUACCAAGUCAUUGGGAAAUGCCUUUCUGGCGAAAGAUGAACAAUAAUGGGGGCGCCAAAUAAAAAUGUGAAGUCCUUCUUUUUGGUUCUGACCCCUAUUGGUCUACCAUAGAAGUUAGACCGCUUUCAGGAAGCUCCACUUAACUUGUCUAUCACCUGUAGAAUAGUUGCUGUUUUAAAAAAUUUGAAGCUGGGCUGUCUCUAGGGGAAGUUGCAAAUCAAUUAGGAAUGAUUUCAAGAGCUUGAUAUAAUCCUUUGGCUUCUCUACAUUGAAGGCGUGCCCUGCAUUCUUGAUAACUGCCAGAUGGGCAUUGUCCCCCAAAUGCCUAAUGUCGAGCAGUUAACACCCACCCAAUUCAGAACUAAUUCUGCAGGAAACAAAACGCAUUUGUAUGUUCAUGUGUUCGAGACUAAUACUAACCUUUUUAAUCUGUGACCCAAUUCCAGUGGAAAAAUUCGAUCAUUUUCGCCCCAGACUAUCAACGUUGGCUGCAGGACAAACGAAAGCAGUUGGUUAAUUCAUCUUAGCUAUGCCCCCAGGUUCGGUAGAAAGAAUUGAACAAAAAGGGUUGAACCUGGGUGAUCUUGGGAAUGUUCGAAAGCUUUCUGUCUUUAGGAAUAGUUCGGAUCAAUUCUUUUUUCUCUUCCACAUAAUCUCUGCACAUUGCGUCAAUGAAAUCGAUGAAGAAGCAAUCGGGGAUCAAUCCCACAGGAGGAGGCCUUAAAAACGUAUAACCCACCAACUCUCUCAGCUUAUCUGGUUUCAAUGGCACCAAAAUACUUGCAGCCUC
rnacentral:misc_RNA from 1 species